rnacentral:sRNA from 1 species
CCUACAGACUGGGGUAUUCAAAUGAAAGGGUUUCCAGGAGGCUACGACAUGUAUGAGUGUGACACUAAAGGUCUUAUAGACGCCAAUCUCACAGUCACCAUAGUCAACGUGAAGCUAGAGGAUGCUGGGAUGUAUCAAUGCGCGGUGCAUGUCGGGGGAGACUAUGGAGACGGUGAGAACGUCCGGUACAGGCACAGCACGACAGUCAACCUUACCGUGAAAUAUAAUGGAAACAGAAAUGGAAAUGAAAAUAGUUCAGACUGGAAUUCCUCAAGAAAUACAAAAACAAGAAAUACACUCUUAGUGAUCAACA